rnacentral:rRNA from 1 species
GACGAACGCUGGCGGCGUGCUUAACACACGCAAGUCGAACGGAAAGGCCCUGCUUUUGUGGGGUGCUCGAGUGGCGAACGGGUGAGUAACACGUGAGUAACCUGCCCUUGACUUUGGGAUAACUUCAGGAAACUGGGGCUAAUACCGGAUAGGAGCUCCUGCUGCAUGGUGGGGGUUGGAAAGUUUCGGCGGUUGGGGAUGGACUCGCGGCUUAUCAGCUUGUUGUUGGGGUAGUGGCUUACCAAGGCUUUGACGGGUAGCCGGCCUGAGAGGGUGACCGGCCACAUUGGGACUGAGAUACGGCCCAGACUCCUACGGGAGGCAGCAGUGGGGAAUAUUGCACAAUGGGCGGAAGCCUGAUGCAGCAACGCCGCGUGCGGGAUGACGGCCUUCGGGUUGUAAACCGCUUUCGCCUGUGACGAAGCGUGAGUGACGGUAAUGGGUAAAGAAGCACCGGCUAACUACGUG